rnacentral:rRNA from 1 species
GGUCCGGACAUACCGAGGAUUGACAGACUGUUAACUGCAACACAAGCUGCUAAGUUUUAAACUUAAUAGCUCUUUCAUGAUUAUAUGAUAGGUGGUGCAUGGCCGUUCUUAGUUCGUGGAGUGAUCUGUCUGCUUAAUUGCGUUUCAAAAUUUAAACCUGAGCGACAAGGUGCUGCUAUCGAAACUGUCUUUGAGUGUGAACUAUAAGUCUUUUGACUUAUGACCAUCACUCUAGACGUUUAUGUUUUGGUGUUGGCCCUUGAUGCUCAUUUGAACGCAACGGACGUGAUUGCAACCCCUUGUUGAGAUUUAUCCGAUCUCUACGUUCACUGAACCACACUCUUUAGCGAGAGCAGUGGGGAUGUGGAUAAACUCGGGGGACUGCUGACUAUAAACUUUUCUCAAACCAGAGGAAGGUUGCGGCAAUAACAGGUCUGUGAUGCCCUCAGAUGUUCCGGGCUGCACACGUGCUACAUUUAGUAGCGCAGUGUGCACAUUAAUAGAGUGAUAGGUUCCGUGGUUUGUACAUUUUAAGGGCUCGUCCUAGUAACCAAAGCUCCACGGGACAUAUCAACCUUCCCCUUACAGGGCGGGUAACCUCUUCGAAGUGCUGGCAUGAUUUCCCUAGUUUUGGCAUUUGAAUCCUUGUCGCAGCAGCCCUGAGACGUAGUGAACGCUGCAAAGUGAUUCCAGUCUUAGGUUUGCGACACAUGCAAUUCCUGGUUGACUCAUCGUGGGGACUGAUUCUUGUAAUUAUUUUUCACGGUUCAACCAGGAAUGCCUUGUACCGGCGGCUCAUUAAACCGCUGGGAAUAC